rnacentral:rRNA from 1 species
CAGAGGGUGCAAACGUUGUUCGGAAUUACUGGGCGUAAAGCGCGUGUAGGCGGCUAUGCAAGUCGGAUGUGAAAUCCCGCGGCUCAACCGUGGAAGUGCACUCGAUACUGCAAAGCUAGAGUCCUGGAGAGGAAGGUGGAAUGCUUGGUGUAGAGGUGAAAUUCGUAGAUAUCAAGCGGAACACCGGUGGCGAAGGCGGCCUUCUGGACAGUGACUGACGCUGAGACGCGAAAGCGUGGGGAGCAAACAGGAUUAGAUACCCUGGUAGUCCACGCCGUAAACGAUGAGUGCUAGGUGUCACGGGCUUUGACCCUCGUGGUGCCGAAGCUAACGCGUUAAGCACUCCGCCUGGGGAGUACGGCCGCAAGGCUA